ACUUAGUGCAACCAAUAGAAUUCAUUCAGUGCUCUGUCAGUUGUGGCAUGUAGCAGUAUUAACUCCUUUUCAGUUCAUAUAAGGUAAUAGAAAAAGGUUUUCCAAAGGAAGCAGCACAGAAAACUAUUCAAAAGGCCCACAACUAGAAAUUUCUUGUGUUGUUUGGUUCUCAGCAACUGUAUUUAUAUUCAGGAAGAGAGAAGUUCAGACUCUAUCAACAGCUCCAACAGGUGUGAUUCCAGAAUGAAGCAACAGCAAGAGGUGUGACCACCCACGAUUGUGCACGAUUGCACAAGGAGACAAGACAUUCUCAGUGGACAGCCAACGCAAAUACAAGGCGAAAGGUCAUCAAAUGUGAAACACUGGGACAAAAUAUCCGGCUAGAUGCUAAUUUCAUUAUUUCCACAAGUUGCUUUUGCUAUUUUACAUUUGAGCAGGAAGUAAAGUUUUGAAAAUUUAAUACCGGCCAGAUUGCACUAGUGAAUCACACUCAUUGCCUCAGGGUUUUCUCCAUUUGCUUGUUUGAAUUGAAGGAGAACUAUAAAUUUAACAUGCUAUUUUUGUUUCAAAUAUUCAAUCAUUCACAAAGUGCUGGAGAAACAAAAGAAAUCUUAAUUGUGUAAAAUGUUUUGGCCAAAAAGAUCAGCAGAAAGGAGAAACAGUCUGAAAAUUUUCCAAUGAAAGGAAGAUUUAUGAUUUAUGCUUAUUUUCUCUGAAAGGCACAAGUAAAAGCAAUGCAUUUUUUGUGGGACCCAAAUAAUUAUUCGUGUUCCUCACUAUCCAGGAAAAGAUGACAAGAAAAUUUAAAGGGCUUUCCCUGGGCUCCACGGUAGCAUAGUGGUUAGCACAACAUUGUUACAGCUCAGGGUGUCAGAGUUGAGAGUCAUCAACAGUUAUCUCACUCAACAGCAAAGGGCACAGGCCUCCACAGUGUGGGCUUCCAGAAUGAACAAUUAAACUUGAGGCCUGACAUGUGAAUCAGCCAGAGGUGCAGUGCUGCAUCUCUGGUCAGUUGUGAGUCUGAGAUGAAGCACUGUAGCUCUGGAGGAUGGACACUGCAGCAAUGGCCUUGAACGAAGAGCGGGACAGCAACACACAGCCUGGAGGGAAUGUCAUCUGCGUUCAUUUCCGAUCUUCCAUUGACCUUCUCCUCAGGGUCCAGUUUUCCCAGGAAUCCCUUCAAUAAUGAUAAGGGGAUUCCUGGAAAUACUGUUCUUGGGGGCAAGGCUUGGCAGCUAUACAAUGAGGAGACCACCAAAACUGCGUUCAUGAAAGCUCCUGGAUUAUUGUGGAAAAAAUGAAUCCUUUAAAUUCUAUUUGUGAGAACAUUCCCCCAAUGUGAAUUCUUAAUGUAAUAAACAUAAAUUAAAACAAAU